GUCUGAUAUGUUGUAGAUACGAUAUAGUAGUCAACACACUCAAUUCUUAUUGGAAGGGAGAUAUAUCAGAACACAUCUACAAAUAUUACAGCGAUACAUACAAGUUUCCUGUCAUAGAAUCUACGACGACAUUUACAAAUUGGGGAUACUUGUUUCAUCUUCAACCCACCAUAUUACAUCGUAAACCCAGAAGUGACGAUGAAAUUGAAAUUAUAUUCCUGAACUCUAGCUAUGGACGGAUUUUCUCUUCCUCUAACUGUAAACACCUAUUAUCUUCAAGUUACAAAGAACAUGAACACGGAGUUAUUAAAGAGAAGCAAGAUGUCAGUGUUAAAUGUAAACUAUGGCUUCUAGCUAAGACAGUUGGCUUUGGAUGGUACAGGAAAUAUUAUAUAGGAAAGAAGAGAUGGGGAAUAUUUACUAACCCAGAAUCAUAAGUUUGACUCCUUAGUCUUAGGGGAAUAAAGUUUA